rnacentral:rRNA from 1 species
GACGAAGGUCCCAAGCGUUACCCGGAUUUACUGGGUGUAAAGGGAGAGAAGGCGGUGUUUUAAGUUCUUCAUUAAAGACUACGAGCCCAACUCGUAGUAAGGGAAGAAUACUGAAACACUAGAGAUUGCAAGUGGCCAUCAGAACGGUCGGUGUAGGGGUGAAAUCCGAAGAUAUCGACCUGAAUGCCAAAGGCGAAGGCAGUUGGCUAGUGCAAUUCUGACGCUGAUCUCUCGAAAGCUAGUGGCGCGAACCGG